CUUUGCUUGCUCGAUCAUAUUAUUUUUGCUUCACUUGUAACGUAUACUGCAUGUGAUGAAUGUGGAGGUUUUGGAGGCUCAAACAAGCACCAUCGACAUCAGGAUUCAACAGGCAAGGAAUUCUGCAGUAGCUCAGGCACAGCAAGAUGGUUGCACCGGCAACUUCAGAAUAUUUGAUUCGCCAUAUGGGAAUUAUCUCGUGCCCGUGAUCCCUACACUUGCAGACCUCGGUGAAUAGCUUUAUGGUAUUCUCAUAUGUAAGAACCCAAGUUUGACACAGAAAGUCUAAAUCUCAUUGAUUUUGGUGGUUCUUGUGAUUAUCUUCUUGAUAAAUCAUACCAAUUCGAAUCCUCUCAGGUUGAGCACUCAGUUGUAAAUUUCAGGACCCCGUGGGAUUACUCGAAGCGCGCGUAAGUUGGCCCAGAUCUUCUUGAUAAAUCAUUGUUGUAAUUAUACCAACUGGACCUAAUCCUGUGCUUGAGUUUAGUCGGUCAAAGUUCCUCUUUCUCCUUUCAUUAAUACACUAUUUGGACUUGAUAAAUUAGCACUAGGAGAGCCUUGUCUNCCACCCCCCACGCACCCA
rnacentral:lncRNA from 1 species